UGUUCGUUUGUUUUUAUUUUUAAAAUGCGUCAAAUAUAAACUUAUUUAUUUAUUUAUUUAUAAUCGACUUAUUUUGGGAUCCUUGUAUAUCAAGUCUUUGUGAGGGUAUCCAUUCAACUUCCUUCGAUUUCAAACUUCCAUAAUUCAAUCAUUUUAAUCUCAAACCUUUACAUUAACCUUUUCUUUCAAAUCCUUUUCAUAAGUGAAUCUGAAGAAAAAGAGUAUC
rnacentral:lncRNA from 1 species